rnacentral:rRNA from 1 species
UACGUAGGGUGCAAGCGUUAAUCGGAAUUACUGGGCGUAAAGCGUGCGCAGGCGGCUUUGCAAGACAGAUGCGAAAUCCCCGGGCUUAACCUGGGAACUGCAUUUGUGACUGCAUGGCUGGAGUGCGGCAGAGGGGGAUGGAAUUCCGCGUGUAGCAGUGAAAUGCGUAGAUAUGCGGAGGAACACCGAUGGCGAAGGCGAUCCCCUGGGCCUGCACUGACGCUCAUGCACGAAAGCGUGGGGAGCAAACAGG